GAAACAAGACCACCAAAUUGGAGUGGACUUCAAUUCAAUUCUUACAACAACAAAAAAGUUUGGUCCUUGCGAGUUUAUGGUACUGGAGUUUGAGCCUGUGGAGCUUAUCGGCGAUGUGGGAGUCGGUGAAUUUUGGGCGGAGAGCGGUCUCGAUGCGGUCCAAGGCCGGAGAGUCGAGAGUGGGCUGAGAAUUGCUGGUGAGUUCAUCUUCUUCGGAGAAAUGGGUUAGGGUUUCGGGAGAGGCGUUGGACGGUGGGAAACGGCGACGCGUUGACAUGCAUGGGGUGAUGGCCUGUGGGAAUUGGGAUGAGAUUGGAGUUUUUGUGGGCCUUCCUUCCUUAUAGGGUAUAUUUCUUCGAAAUUUUUCAUGAACAUUUGCCUCGACAAUGUCAAAAAAAUAUCGAUUGUUAUUCAAUUUUUUCACACCCGUGCUUUUUGCUCUUUUUCCUCGAAAUUUGAGUUUAAAUACUUAAAUAUUGACAUUUUCCACAACAAUGUGGAACAAUAUCGAUCAAUAUCGAUCGUGACUUGUGAUUUUGAAGAACAAUGUGGAAAUACUUAGGAUGCAUACACAUACUUUGAAGAACACUUACUUUCUCCAUUUAUAAACUUAAGAAAUGUUGUAGUUGUAGUUUUAAUAUUUUUAAAUUUUGAGUUCAACUUGAAAAUAUGUGGCUGUUUAUAUGACCUGCAUCAAAUUAUGUAUAAUUAUUUUUUAUUUAUAUAUAUUUACGUUUAAUCUUUUAUUUAGAAAAUAACAUAAACUUCUUUAGAGAGACAAAGUCAAAUCCAAGUCUUCUGAACCACCAGAGCUAGUCAUUAUUGAGAUCAAUCCCAUCUUGGGGUGGAUGCUGCCACGGCGAAACCUGAUUCUAUUGAACGUUAAUACCGUCGGCGGUGGUUGGGCCAACAACGGAUGAAGCGGAAGCCAGUGGGCCAUGUCGACGGUGCGCCGGAAUUGCUUCUUACAGACGGUGGCGGCAUCGUCAUGUAAUCGUAAAGUGUCAUUUGGGGUUUUCGAGAAGCAGAGGCUAGGCCAUGGAAAUAAUUGGUCCCAAAAGAAGCAAGCUCAUUCGACAAGAAAUGGUGCAAUGGUGAUUAAGAGUUUCAGAGCCAAGAAUCCCUUGGCCAGAUGGGUUCCAGCUAGAUUUAUCAAAAGGGGAGGACUUCCAUGGGAAAGACGGAGGAGCUUUAAGGAGGAAGGCCAUGGCAGAAAUGAGAAUGGAGAUGGAAAGAAAUGCAAAUAAUAGAGGAGGUAGAGAAGAAGAAGAAUAAUAAAGGGCAUUGGGGAAGCCAAGUUUUGAAUAACACAGCUUCGCCACAAAUGGAUGUUUUUGUGUUAUCUUAGCACUUGGUAAGUAAAAAAGAAUAAACAAGAGAAUUUUCUCUC